rnacentral:rRNA from 1 species
AGCAGCCGCGGUAAUUCCAGCUCCAAUAGCGUAUAUUAAAGUUGUUGCAGUUAAAAAGCUCGUAGUUGAAUUUCGGGAUCAAGUCGUCGGUCGUGCUCAGGUACGUACUGGCGUCAUUGAUUUCUCCCUUCUGACGAACCAUGAUGUCAUUAAUUUGGUGUUAUGGGAAAUCAGGACUGUUACUUUGAAAAAAUUAGAGUGUUUAAAGCAGGCUCACGCUUGAAUACAUUAGCAUGGAAUAAUGAAAUAGGACGUUCGAUCCUAUUUUGUUGGUUUUUAGGAUCAACGUAAUGAUUAAUAGGGAUAGUUGGGGGCAUUAGUAUUCAAUUGUCAGAGGUGAAAUUCUUGGAUUUAUUGAAGACUAACUACUGCGAAAGCAUUUGCCAAGGAUGUUUUCAUUAAUCAAGAACGAAAGUUAGGGGAUCGAAGACGAUCAGAUACCGUCGUAGUCUUAACCAUAAACUAUGCCGACUAGGGAUCGGAUGAUGUUAAUUUUUUAAUGACUCAUUCGGCGCCUUACG